GAACAACGCUGGCGGCGUGCCUAACACAUGCAAGUCGAACGAGAAAGUCGGUUUCGGCCGAUGAGUAAAGUGGCGCACGGGUGAGUAACGCGUGGAUAAUCUACCCUUUAGUCCGGAAUAACUUGCCGAAAGGUGAACUAAUACCGGAUGACAUCCCGGGUUCUCCGGAAACCGGGAUCAAAGAAGGCCUCUGCUUGCAAGCUUUUGCUGAAGGAUGAGUCCGCGUACCAUUAGCUAGUUGGUGGGGUAAUGGCCUACCAAGGUUAUGAUGGUUAGCUGGUCUGAGAGGAUGAUCAGCCACACUGGAACUGAAACACGGUCCAGACUCCUACGGGAGGCAGCAGUGAGGAAUAUUGCGCAAUGGGGGCAACCCUGACGCAGCAACGCCGCGUGAGUGAGGAAGGUUUUCGGAUUGUAAAGCUCUGUCGAGCGGAAAGAAAUGCACGAUGGCUAAUAUCCAUCAUGCUUGACGGUACCGCUAGAGGAAGCACCGGCUAACUCCGUG
rnacentral:rRNA from 1 species